rnacentral:rRNA from 1 species
GAUGAACGCUGGCGGCGUGCUUAACACAUGCAAGUCGAACGAAGCAUCUUGUAACUUUCGGGUUAUAAGAUGACUUAGUGGCGGACGGGUGAGUAACGCGUGGGUAACCUGCCUUAUACAGGGGGAGUAACAGCUGGAAACGGCUGCUAACACCGCAUAAGCGCACAGUGUCACAUGACACAGUGUGAAAAUAUUAAUAGGUAUAAGAUGGACCCGCGUCUGAUUAGCUAGUUGGUGAGGUAAUGGCCCACCAAGGCGACGAUCAGUAGCCGGCUUGAGAGAGUGAACGGCCACAUUGGGACUGAGACACGGCCCAAACUCCUACGGGAGGCUG